AGCCGGCAGACCUCCCAGGAGGUGGGGUUUAGCUCCCCAGUGGAAAAAGGGAGGGAGAUGUCCACUCUGUCGAAGAGGAAAGUCGGUGCCCCCUGGUUUGUGGUGGGGGAAUGCCCUGCCUGCCCAAGGUCAUUUGAGGACCUCAGCAGCUCUGAGCCGGCCCGCACCCCCAGGACAGAGGAGAGGGAGGGAGACUCCAGGGGUUGGGAAGAGACGGAGGAACCACUGGAAGGUGAAGGGAAGGAAGGAAGCGGGGACAUGGAAAGAGGGAGAGAGGGAAGGACAGAGGCAGAGGAAGGAAGGGAGAGGAGAGGGGUGCGGAGCGGUGAGGGGAGAAGGAAGGGGGCCGGGGUGUCUUGUACUCCAGUCCUGGUGGAGGGGGACGGGAUGCCCAUUUCUGCCCUACCCCGGCUGUGGGGAAAGACAGGGAGGCCAUGCUUCUCCCGGACACAGUGUAGAAGGUCUCUGGUGGCGGGUUUCCCUGGGAUCCCAGAACAGCUAGUGUCAGGCGGGGAUGUGGGCGCCUGGACAAAGCCCUUGGCAGCCUCUGGGCAGCUGGGUGUGCAGUGGGUCUUCCCAGCAGCCUCCUGGGGCUGGCCAUCCUCCUGGAGAGCCCAUGGGGCCUGCAGGCCUUCUCCUAAGAAGGGGCGUUGGCACACUGGGAGUACCCAGGCUUGCUUGGGACACACUGGGUGUGGGAUCAGGUGGGGUAGAGUCUGGGCCAGGCUCCAGGAGGCGCUUGUGGAGUGGCCCCUGUUUUGGAAGCUGCCUAACUCUUCCCUAGAGAGGAUGGAGCUCUGGCAGGGACCGUCCCUGGGCUCUGCCCAGGGUGUGGGUCUGGGUCUGGGUCUGGGUCUGGGUCUGCAGACAGGAGAGGAAGAGAGGGGACUGCGAGCCAGGCACCAGUUUCCUGCCCAUCCCACUGGGUCAGACCGCUCCACCCACUGCCACUUGCUGUGGAUUCCCAAGUCCUGAAGGCUCCAAAAGUGGUAGAGACGGGUCCCUCUUUCUCUCCUUCUGCACCCUUUGAAAGUGGGCAGCCAAACCUUGCUGGGGUUGCCGGGAUGCCAGACCCCAGGCCAGGGGACUGGGUAUUGGGCUACAGUAUGGUCCUCCAGUCCCAGACUUACAGGAGCCCAGGCGCCUCACCGGGGAUCCAGACAUGCUUGGAGCUGGGUUUCCUAUGGCUUUUGAGUUGUUUUCAGGUCCAAAGCAAGAGAUGGUCUGGCUGGGGGCAGUGGCUCACGCCUAUAACCCCAACGUUUUGGGAGGCUGAGGUGGGCGGAUCACCUGAAUUCAGGAGUUCGAGACCAGGCUGGCCAACAUGGUGAAACCCCGUCUCUACUAAAAAUACCAAAAAAAAAAAAAAAAAAAAGCUGGGCACAGUGGCAGGUGCCUGUAGUUCCAGCUACUCAGGAGGCUGAGGCAGGAGAAUCGCUUGAACCUGGGAGUCAGAGGUUGCAGUGAGCUGAGAUCCCGCCGCUACACUCCAGCCUGGGCAACAGAGCGAGAUUCCAUCUCAAAAAAAAAAAAAAGAAAGAAAAGAAAAAGAAGAGUGAAUGGGGAACACCAGUGAGUUAGUAAUUAAUGUGUCUUCAAUCUGCUGGGAUAGCAGGCACCAGUAGAUAAAGCCUGCUAUUGCCAAUGACUUUCUAAGACCAGGCUCCCUUCAGAAAUGGCUGGGAAGGAAGGCUGUGGCUUCGCAAGUGACUCAGAACUAAUCAGGGUCUCGGGUUCCUUCCUCCCCAGUCAAACGCUGAGGGCUGCACCCAGCGCUGAGCUAUGCCAAACACGUUAGGAAAACAAACCCUCCUUUGCUGCCUUUGCAGUGACUAACAACAAAAGAAACCACGUGAAUGACUGAGAUUUUCUCUAAAGCAUUCCCUCCUGUGGGCAGGGCGGAGACAGGGACAUGGACACACUCUGGAAAUAAACAGAGCCCCUAGAGCCAGGCAGGGGUGAGGUCCCCAGGGAAGGCCAGGAGGCCAGUGCUCAGGGCUGGUGCCUGCUUUGGAAAACCCCAGGAUUCACUGCAGGAGAAACCAAGGGAUCCCCUGUGGAUCCACUUUUCAGAGAUUCGGGAAGAUGAAGUGCUUGUGUCUAGGGCAUGGGACAAGCCAGGGUGGGCUGGGAGCCCUCGGGGGGGCUGUCGGUGCGUCUGUGACUAGGAGUGAGUCUGGUUUGUGGUGGGGGUCCCCCAAGGCUCCACGUGGCUGGAGGGGGCCCCUGAGUUGAAGAGAUUGGCAGACCUGCCUUCAGUGAUCUUGUUGCGGUAAAAGAUGGCUAACAUCAGAGUUGCCAUUUUCACCAUUUACAAGAAUGCAGUCCGGUGGCGUGAAGUCCACUCACUUUGUCACGCAGCUGUCACCACCAUCCAUCUCCAGAACUUUCUCAUCUUCCCAGAUGGAAACUGCACCCCCUUGAACAUGCAUCCCCUCCCCCAGCCCCUGGCACCCAGCAUUCCACCUCCUGUCUCUGUGGAUUUGACUCCUAGGGAUCUCGUAUGUGAGUGGAAUCCUGCAGCAUCUGCCCCUCUGUGACCACCUUAUUUCACUGAAUGUGGCAUCUGCAGGGCUCACCUAUGUGUCAGAAUCUCCUUCCUUCUUAAGGCCGACUCUCAUUCCACUGCACCGAUGGACCACACUGUGUAUCGGUUCACACAUCCGCAGACACGGGGCUUGUUCCCGCCUGCUGUGCACAGCACCACUAUGGAAACAGGUGUCCAACUCUCCAUUCGGGUCUCCGCUUUUCAUGAUUUGGGGUAUCUACGCAACGUUGAAAUGACCACAUCCUAUGGUAGUUCUACCUUUAUUUUUUAUUCUUAUUUUUUCUUUGAUGGAGUCUUGCUCCAUCACCCAGGCUGGAAGGCAGUGGCUCAGUCGCACUCACUGCAACCUCCGCCUCCUGGUGUCAGGUGAUUCUCCUGCCUCAGCCUUCCGGGUAGCUGAGAUUACAGGUGCAUGCCACCGUACCUGGCUAAUUUUUAGUAGAGACAGGUUGGUCAGGAUGGUCUUGAACUCCUGACUUCAGGUGAUCUGCCCGCCUUGGCCUCCCAAAGUGCUGGGAUUCCAGGAGUGAGCCACCUCCAGGCCCUACCUUUACAUUUGUUAAGGGACGUAAUACUGUUUUCAGGGCUGACUUCAGUUUUUAAUUGGCCUCCCUGUAACUGAUUCUGAAACACGACGUCAGCACAAGACCAGAGCAAGGUUUUGGGGGAAGAGACAAAGGGGUUCCUUCAGAGCCCAGCCUUUGAAGACAGCUUGCUCACCUUCUCCCUCCCCUCUCUCCCCUUCCUUCCCCUUUCUCUGUUUCCUGGGGAAAGGAGCAUUAUGCUCCGGUCCAGAUCCUGGCUUUUGCUGUCCUCUCCGCGUGUGACCUUGGUCGUGUCAUGUCCCCUCUCUGUGCCUCGUUCUCCACCUGAACAGUGGGAGAUGGCGUACAAGGGUUGGGAGACCCUCCUGACCCAGAUGAUUUGACCCAGGCUUAGGAACCCCAUGAUGGGCGCCCCUCCGGGAUGUGGAGUCUCUGAGCCUGGGUCUGAGCUGGGCCUGGUGCCUGGACGCUCAGACAUGUGACCCUGUCUCUGCAGGAUCCUGGGAGCAGCGAGGGAGGAGGAGUGAGCAGCCAGAGGCUGCGUGCCCAGGGGGCUUUCCGUUUGAAAACUGCUGGGCCUCCCUGGGUGGCUGGGGGCGGGACAGUGGCCCUCAUCGCAUCUCAGCCUUUUUGCCAGGGAGGGUUGGUUCAUUGUUCGUGGUUCCCCGACCUGUUGCGCCUCGGUCCAGUAGAUCAUCGGGGUGGGGCUUGGUGGCCUGGCACAGGGGGCUCAGACCAGCUUGCCCUUCUCUGUGGGCAGAAGCUCAACAGGCUGGAGCCACCACUGUUCCCUCCCAGAAAACUCCAAAAAAGUAGCUUGGAACACUAGUGACAGCACCUGCUUACAUGCCAUCCUUGAGGCCUGAAAAGAACCCCAAGACUCAGGGUUACCAUGUAUGGGAUGGGAACGAGGGCUGUGGUCUCCCUCAUAGCGGUGCAGUGAGCCUGGAGUGGAUGGGGGUCCUGGGGUCCAUGCCUGGGGCAAAGGAUAUGCUCAGUUAAGCAUCUCCACUGCAGCUCCUGGAGACACUCUGUGAGGGCCUGUGAGUCAGGCGACACUGGUGAUGCCAUCCCUAUAUUUUGGAGGCCCAGAGAGGCAAAGCAACCUGCCCGAGGCCUCACAGCUGGGAAAGGAGGGGGGGGGAUUUCAUUUUGGAUCAUUAAGUCCAGACCUCCCUCUCCUGUGCCAUCCUUGGGCUGGGGGAGUCAGGGAAGGGGAGCCCACCUGGCUGUUGGGGAGAUUCUGGCUGAGGCUCAUUGGGGAACAAAGCGGGUGAGAGGGACAGGCCCCAGGGGCCGGCACAGAACGGGCUCUGGGAUGGACCUGUGCCUAUGUUAGGUGUUUCUGGGUGGGUAGGGGCAGGAAGGAAGCUUUGGAGUGGGUUGUCCCGGUCAAGGACGUGUGGUCAGGCUGGACAAGGCAGAACCUGGGGCACGUCGGUGGUUUCCUAGACCCUAAAGGACAGUGGCUGACCCAGGGUGGAGGGGGAGCUUGGGGGUAAUUUAAGGGGAGCCAGUGCUUCCCCGAACAUACCCUACAGCAGUGCAACACCCUGGGCCAGAGGCAGCGCCAGUGGAGCAGAAGGGGUGGCCAUGGUGGGGCUGAAGGAAGGCGUGAGGGGAUGGGGUGAGAGUGACCUGAAGCCUCAUGGGCACAGCAGCUAUGUGCUCUGCAUGUGGGCUGAAGCGUUACAAGCCUCUUUGGAGUUGUCCUUCCACCAGCCGUAUGAAGUGGGUCCUGUGAGUCAAGGUCACACCAUUCUCAUUCCUGUAAGAUUCCAGCCUGGCCUUCCUGUUCCAAAGCCCCCACUCUCCACCACUGCCCAAAGCUGCCUCUAGCUCCAAAGAAUGCUGGGGUGGCCCAACCAGGGAUGUCCACCCCCAGGCAGGUGUGGGCUGCUUUCAGGGAGCCGUGAGGUGGCCCAGGUCAGGGGUUCUCUGCAAUAUCUCCAGCAGCCUGGCCUGGGUCCACAGGCGUGAGGGAGAUGGGUCAGGCCUGGGGAGUGGGGACAGCCCGGUACUGGGGUGUGUGAAGUGGGAGUGGUGGGCUGCCCUUCCCUUCCUGCCGGGAAAAACUGGAACAGCCACCUUCACCUGUCUCCCGGAUGCAGGAUGCAGGAGCACUGCGGAAGGGCCCUGUCUCUGGGAAUAGCAAUAGGACAGGUUCCUUUACCCCUCCAUCCCCAGCUCCCGCACUUGUUCAUUCAUUCAUUCAUUUAUUCAUUCAUUUACAUAAGGUGUCAAUUCUGGCCGGGCGCGGUGGCUCAUGCCUGUAUUCCCAGCACUUUGGGAGGUGGAGGUGGGUGGAUCACCUGAGGUCAGGAGUUCGAGACCAGCCUGACCAACAUGAAGAAACCCCAUUUUUACUAAAAAUACAAAAAAAUAACCAGGUGUGGUGGUAUAGGCCUGUAAUCCCAGCUACUCAGGAGGCUGAGGCAGGAGAAUUGCUUGAACCGGGGAAGCGGAGGUUGCGGAGGUUGUGAGCCGAGAUCACACCGCUGCACUCCAGUCUGGGCAACACCAGGGUAGCUCUGUCUCAAAAAAAAAAAGUGUCAAUCCUGAGUUCCACUGUCGGCCUGUGGUUCCCAGACUUCCAGUUUUCAAGUGCCGCAAUGCAGAACAGUUCCAGUCACCGAGGAAGCGGCAUACAGUGGACAGCAUGAAAGCUUUGCCGGGAAGAGACUUGUACUCAGAACCCUCAUGUCCCCACCCUUUCAUCCAAGAAAUAACCUUUGAGUAUCUCCAUCUCUGAGUAAAGAAAGGCUCUUGGCCAGGCAAGGUGGCUCAAGCCUGUAAUCCUAGUACUUUGGGAGACUGAGGCGGGAGGAUUGUUUGAGCCCAGGUUGAGCAAUAUGUGGAGACCUCAUCUCUACAAAAAAUGAAAAUUUAAAAAAUUAUCUGGGCAUAGUAGCAUGCACCUGCAGCCGCAGCUACUCGGGACACUGAGACAGGAGGGUCCCUUGAGCCCAGGAGUUCGAGGCUGCAGUGAGCUGUGAUCACGCCACUGUACUCCAGCCUGGGCGACAGAACAAGACCCUAUCUCAAAAAAUAAAAACAAACAAAAGAAAGAAAGGUUCUUAAAAUCGACUUAAUUUAGCUUCAUAAGAAGCUCACUCAUUGUCCCUAUUUUUCUCAUUUUGUUGGUGAAAACUUUGUCCUAGGCUGGCAUUUGGGAACCACAUGGUCUGGCUUUCCCAGAUUCCCAGACAUAAAGACACACAGACCCACACCUGCCAUGCCACAUACUCACACCGGCCAUGCCACAUACGUACACCGUGCACACACGCCUCCCCUGUCGUGAGGGCUCCAGCCCGGUCCCCGAUGGAGCCCUGGCUGUUAGUGGUCUGGGUGGCCUCAGCGGCUCAAGAAUAGAUGGACAGAUGCAUCUGCACCAGUGUGGGCCAAGGGUUAAGUGCCUUUUGCGAGGUGGUGAGUAGGAGAGAGCCGUGGGAGCUUCCUGUUUAGUCAGAGGGAGGCUGGGGAAGUUAUCUCGCUGGCUCCCACACCGAGCAGACGAAGAGAUGGGGUGUCCGGCAGUCAGCAUCCAGCAGGUGAGUGUCCCAGCCCGGGGCGCGGCAGCGCCGCCAAGCGGAAGAAGAAGCAGCGGCGGAACCGCACCACGUUCAACAGCAGCCAACUACAGGCGCUAGAGCGCGUGUUCGAGCGCACGCACUACCCUGACGCCUU